AUGAGCAACCCUUGCGAAUGCUGUGAGAGGAAGAUAAGGUUCAUCAGAAAAAUAAAUGGAAAUUUUAUGCAUAGCAUGGUCAUUCCAGAGUGGUUUGUUAGUCAACUUGGGGGCAAAAUCUGGAGAACCAUCAGACUGCAAGCCCCUGAUGGUAUCAUAUAUGAUGUUGGAGUUAGUGAGAAUAUGAAUAGAAUUAUCCUCAAGUUUGGGUGGGCAGCAUUUCUUGAUGCCAAUGAAAUCGAAGAAAACUAUUCCUUGAUGUUUCGGUACCUCGGAAAUUCCCUCUUUGAGGUUACGAUAUUUGAUUCCAAUGGGAAGGAGAAAGUAUCGCAUAGUCACUACACUGAUAAUUCGAGCAGUUCUCAUCCUGGAGCUACUCAGUCGUCAGCAGGGGAAGGUUCAGAUUCAGAUGGAAGCCAGAAAGAAAGCUCGUACCGGUACAAAAAAUCAGGAAAAAUGCCCGCAAUAGCUUAUUCUUCUGAGGAAUUCUCAGCAGAAGACAAUUCUGUGGAGUCGGAUGAUCAACAGAUGCUUUCAGAAUAUUGUGUCUUCUCAGGGCGGUGCUAUCUUACAGAAGCACAGAAGGCGAAAAUUCUUGCACUUGUAAAGAAAAUUCGACCCGAAAUCCCGGUGCUUGUUGUAGAGAUGAAGAAGAGCAAUGUAAAGCAGAGUGGUACUCUGGUAAUAUGUAAGGAUUACGGACGCAAGCACUUGCCAUGCGAAGAAACAAAUAUCAUACUCCAGCUGCCUCGAAAAAACAAGGGUUGGAAGUGCAGAUUCCAUAUCAGGCCAUCUGGAACAUCUGACGCUGGUCGCCGCAACCUUUCAUUGGGGAACUUUGUCCGUGACAAUCAUGUUAGAGAAGGCGAUAUAUGCCUCUUUGAACCAAUGACAAAUGCUAAGGAGAAAAGAUUCACUAUGACUGUCCAUCUCGUUCACAAAGCGGGCAUUUAUCAUUCCCCUGGUGAAAGAACUGACAUUGGCUCAAAUCAUGGAAGGACGAGCACUAAGAUGGCAAGUGAAGAGUACUCUUCGGAACAUGAGGAUCAUGAAAUCUCUGAUGAUUCCAAGGGAGGUUCUGAACCUCCCUUCAUGCUGGCAGACAGAGCUUCCCUAACACGAGCACAAGAGAAGAAAGUGUUAGAGAAAGUUGAGGAAAUCGAGUCAGACGUACCCUUGUAUGUUGCUAUCAUGAGCAAGUCCAAUGUCUAUCGGGGUAGUGGCUGUAACACUCCCACCCUACACUUUGGCUACCAAUACACAGGCAGAUAUCUUGUUCAGAAGUCUGCUGCUGGCUAUCAUCGUGGAAAGAGUAGCCUGGUCAGUUUGGUGCUUCAUAGGGAGGGGAGGAGUGGAUCAUGGCCUACCAAGAUGCAACACAGCAUGCAACACACAACUCAUGCGAUGAGGGUUCUCAAAGGAUGGACGUUUUUUGCCCGCGACAACCGCCUGCGGGAGGGUGACCUCUGUCUCUUCAAGCUGAUAAAGAACAAGGAGCCUCUGACUAUGCCUACGAGCAUCCCUGGGUUGGCUUCAACUGGCCUGCUGCCAAUUCUCUUCGGCCGGCCUCCUUCCCAGUUCCGGUUGUGCGCACGUGCGCAUCCAGGGGUAAUCCUUUCAACUUGGCACUCUGGGAGACCGAGCACUCCUGUUUCUAGGACGCCUCGGAUACUUUCUGACGGGGACGUGAUAGCCGCAACAUCCUCGCCUUGCCUCACCGCCGCCGGCGAACCAAAACACCACCCGCCUUCACCGCCGACACCAAAGCGAAAAAUGCCGCAAAGCUGGAUCGCCGCCGAAGCCGUCGCAGCACGGCCGUUGCCGGUUCCAGCAUUUGUGUGGCUGGUUGCAGCUCCGCGAGCCUAUGCUUGUAGCUCUGCCGAGCCGAGGUUGCAUCAUCUUCUGUUGGUGGUUGCCCUCUCCUACGAGCGGAGCGGGGCGCGCAGAUCUUCGUCUGCAGCAAGCCAUCUGCUGGGGAAGGCCGCGGCGAGUAGAUGCUGCCCUCGCCAGAGCUGCACGCGGCAUGCUACUGGGGCAGAGCUCGAGCUGCGCGUGUCUGCGACCAGCAGAUGCUGCUCUCGCCGGAGCUGCAAGCUGUGCGUGAUUUAUUUUGCUAUGGAUUUGUGUUAUUUGGAGGAAGCACAGAGAAAGAGGAAGAUAGAUUGUGUUUGGAUUGAAAAAAUAAGUGGAGGAGGGCGUCCCGUGGAUGAGAUAAGGGCAACGCAAAACGGUGCGUGGGCCACCUGCUUUGAGCCCACUACGCGAGGAGACCGGCGCUGGCUUCGGCCGGUCAGCCGGUGUUAA
rnacentral:rRNA from 1 species